rnacentral:lncRNA from 1 species
CCCGCGCUCCUCCGGGCAGAGCGCGUGUGGCGGCCGAGCACAUGGGCCCGCGGGCCGGGCGGGCUCGGGGCGGCCGGGACGAGGAGGGGCGACGACGAGCUGCGAGCAAAGAUGUGCCCCGGGACCCCCGGCACCUUCCAGUGGAUUUCCUUGCGGAAAGGAUGUUGGCGGUCCCUGUGACCUGUGGAGACACGGCCAGAUCUGCCCUCCAGAUUUAUUAGGAGAAAAACCUUCCCGGAAGCUGCAGAAGGACAAAUACAGAAUCCGUGUCUGGGAGAAACCUCGUGGCCUGGUCUCCAUUAUUUGAGAUGAGUUACAUCUUGGAGGUGAGGACGUGCCUCGUGGUCUAAAGCUUCGGCACAAGGGCCCAACUGGAAUUCCACUUACGGGCCUGAUCUUUUGGCCAGAAGGAGAUUAAAAAGAUGCCCCUCAAGAUGGCUGUGCCUGUCAGCUGCAUGGAGCUUCGUUCAAGUAUUUUCUGAGCCUGAUGGAUUUACAGUGAUCUUCAGUGGUCUGGGGAAUAACGCUGGUGGAACCAUGCACUGGAAUGACACACGCCCGGCACAUUUCAGGAUACUAAAAGUGGUUUUAAGGGAGGCUGUGGCUGAAUGCCUCAUGGAUUCUUACAGCUUGGAUGUCCAUGGGGGACGAAGGACUGCAGCUGGCUGAGAGGGUUGAGAUCUCUGUUUACUUAGAUCUCUGCCAACUUCCUUUGGGUCUCCCUAUGGAAUGUAAGACCCCGACUCUUCCUGGUGAAGCAUCUGAUGCACGUUCCAUCCGGCGCUCAGCUGGGCUUGAGCUGACCAUACUCCCUGGAGCCUUCUCCCGAGGUGCGCGGGUGACCUUGGCACAUACAGCCAUCAUGAUGGUACUUUAAGUGGAGGCUGAAUCAUCUCCCCUUUGAGCUGCUUGGCACGUGGCUCCCUUGGUGUUCCCCUUUUACUGCCAGGACACUGAGAUUUGGAGAGAGUCUCACUCUGUGGUCCAGGCUGAAGUACAGUGGCAUGAUCCCAGGUCACUGCAACCCCCACCUCCCGGGUUCAAGUGAUCCUCCUGCCUCAGCCUCCCGAGUAGCUGGUAUUACAGGCGUGUGCCACAAAGCCUGGCUAAGUUUUGUAUUUUUAGUAGAGACGGGGUUUCACCAUGUUGGCCAGGUUGGUCUCGAACUCCUGACCUCAAGUGAUCCACUCACUUUGGCCUUUCAACGUGCUGGGAUUACAGGCGAGAGUCACCGCACCCGGACGACUCUGACAUUUUUGAAGAGUCCAGAAUCCUGUUACACCUGGGAUUUAGGCACUUUCAAUCUGAAAAAAUACAUAUCCUUUCAGCACUCUGGACGGACUUGAGAACUGUCCUUACGUGACCUAAAGCUGGAGUAUUUUGAGAUUGGAGAAUUAAGGCCAACAGAGAUUUUGAGAAACACAUUGAAGGAUCUGUUAACACUUGAUAUACCCAAUAAAAGCAGUGGUUGUGCCAGUGCUGAUCUGUCUUGAUGUGAAUGUGAACAAUGGGAACCUGAGCUGAGCAGUUAAUGCUAGGGUGACAGAAACUGGACCUCUCCCAAGACAUGUGACAGAGUAAUACAGCAGCCAACUUCUUCGCCAAAUUAAAGUUUUACAAGAUUUAACCUGUCAUCAAGACCUGGGAUUUUGGUGAGCCAGUCUUGGUGCUCUGUGUUCACCUGGUUCAUCUGAGGAGCUGCAUCUACCCUGCCCAUGCCAUAGAUCCUGCCCUGUUUGCUUCUCCUGUUGCUGCUAGUGGACAUGAGAAGGACAGAAUAACGGGCUCCCAGAUUCACAAGCCCCACCAAGAGGAUCACCCCAGGAACGCUUGGAGGCUGAGGAGUUCACUGAGGCUACUGCAUCUUGAGACUCAGGAUGAAGACCCAGCUUGGGGCUGUCAAAGGUUUUUUGCAUGUCUGACACCCAUGACUCCACCUGGACCUUAUGGCUCCACCCAGAAGCAAUUCAGCCCAACAGGAGGACAGCUUCAACCCAUUACGAUUUCAUCUCUGCCCCAACCACUCAGCAGCAAGCACCUGUUACCUGUCCACCCCCACCCCUUCCCCCAAACUGCCUUUGAAAAAUCCCUAACCUAUGAGCUUUGAAUAAGAUGAGUACGAACUUCAUCGCCCACGUGGCGUGGCCGGCCUCGUGUCUAUUAAAUUCUUUUUCUACUACAA